rnacentral:rRNA from 1 species
GUAGGUGGCAAGCGUUGUCCGGAAUUAUUGGGCGUAAAGCGCGCGCAGGUGGUUCUUUAAGUCUGAUGUGAAAGCCCCCGGCUCAACCGGGGAGGGUCAUUGGAAACUGGGGAACUUGAGUGCAGGAGAGGAAAGUGGAAUUCCACGUGUAGCGGUGAAAUGCGUAGAUAUGUGGAGGAACACCAGUGGCGAAGGCGACUUUCUGGCCUGUAACUGACACUGAGGCGCGAAAGCGUGGGGAGCAAACAGGGAUUAGAUACCCUGGUAGUCCACGCCAUAAACGAUGAGUGCUAAGUGUUGGGGGGGUUUCCGCCCCCUCAGUGCUGCAGCUAACGCAUUAAGCACUCCGCCCUGGGAGUACGGUCGCAAGACUG